UUUCUGUUUCACCCACACUUCUCCUAUCCAUGGCUCCUUGGUCUACAACGCUCUGCACCUGGAAGAUAAAUCGGCACAAAAUUGUCACCGAGAACAUUAGAAGGGGAAGAUAAAAGACUUUGAUUCAUGAAGAAUCUGCUCACUGAGAAGUGUAUAUCAAGCCACAAUUUCCAUCAAAAAGUGAUUAAGCAGAGAAUGGAGAAGAAGGUUGAUUCCAGGUAUUUUAAGGAUGGUGCAGUUAAGAAACCUUAUUCUACAAAGACACUGUCCAACAAGAAGUCUUCUGCAUCCUUUGGGAUCCGGAGGGAGUUACCUAGUACCAGUCAUCUAGUGCAGUAUUGUGGCACACAUACUUGUACCCGACAGGGCCGGUUAAGAGAACUGCGCAUCAGGUGAGCUUAUGAGUGGACACCAGUCUAUGGGUACUUUUCUUUUGUUUUCCCUUCUUGGUUAAAAUGAGGGAAUGAUUCUUAUUCUCCCACCACAAUUAGUGGGAGAUCUUGAUGCCUGUUCUUUAUAGUAGAAUGUUCAGAUGAAAAGGAUAUUCAGGAAUCUGCAGACAUAAAAUCUGUCAUUGAGUGUUUUCAUUUCUCCAC
rnacentral:sRNA from 1 species